rnacentral:rRNA from 1 species
UAGGGAAUCUUCCGCAAUGGACGAAAGUCUGACGGAGCAACGCCGCGUGAGUGAAGAAGGAUUUCGGUUCGUAAAACUCUGUUGUUAGGGAAGAAAAAAUGUAUAGUAACUAUAUACAAAAGAGACGGUACCUAACCAGAAAGCCACGGCUAACUACGUGCCAGCAGCCGCGGUAAUACGUAGGUGGCAAGCGUUAUCCGGAUUCAUUGGGCGUAAAGCGCUCGUAGGCGGUCUGUUAGGUCGGCAAGUUAAAUCCGGGGCUCAACCCCCGUCCGCUUCCGAUACCGGCAGACUUGAGUUUGGUAGGGGAAGGUGGAAUUCCUAGUGUAGCGGUGGAAUGCGCAGAUAUUAGGAAGAACACCGGUGGCGAAGGCGGCCUUCUGGGCCAUAACUGACGCUGAGGAGCGAAAGCUAGGGGAGCGAACAGG